AACCUGCUGUACUAUUGUUCCUAAUAAGAUAUUAAUAUGAAUAAAAAGAGGAGGUACAGUAAAUGCACCCCAUAUACACCUCAACCCAGGCCCUUUGCCUGGUCUGUAUUGUGAAUUGGGGGACAAAA